GAUGAACGCUGGCGGCGUGCCUAAUACAUGCAAGUCGAGCGAACAGACGAGGAGCUUGCUCCUUUGACGUUAGCGGCGGACGGGUGAGUAACACGUGGAUAACCUACCUAUAAGACUGGGAUAACUUCGGGAAACCGGAGCUAAUACCGGAUAACAUGUUGAACCGCAUGGUUCAACAGUGAAAGACGGUCUUGCUGUCACUUAUAGAUGGAUCCGCGCCGCAUUAGCUAGUUGGUAAGGUAACGGCUUACCAAGGCAACGAUGCGUAGCCGACCUGAGAGGGUGAUCGGCCACCCUGGAACUGAGACACGGUCCAGACUCCUACGGGAGGCCGCAGUAGGGAAUCUUCCGCGAUGGGCGAAAGCCUGAUGGAGCAACGCCGCGUGAGUGAAGAAGGUCUUCGGAUCGUAAAACUCUGUUAUUAGGGAAGAACAAAUGUGUAAGUAACUAUGCACGUCUUGACGGUACCUAAUCAGAAAGCCACGGCUAACUACGUG
rnacentral:rRNA from 1 species